AGAGUUUGAUCCUGGCUCAGGACGAACGCUGGCGGCGUGCCUAACACAUGCAAGUUGAGCGAGGAGAUUCCCUUCGGGGAUGAACCUAGCGGCGGACGGGUGAGUAACACGUGGGCAACCUGCCUUAUAGAGGGGAAUAUCCUUCCGAAAGGAAGAUUAAUACCGCAUAACAUUACAUUUUCGCAUGAAGAAGUAAUUAAAGGAGUAAUCCGCUAUAAGAUGGGCCCGCGGCGCAUUAGCUAGUUGGUGAGGUAACGGCUCACCAAGGCGACGAUGCGUAGCCGACCUGAGAGGGUGAUCGGCCACAUUGGGACUGAGACACGGCCCAGACUCCUACGGGAGGCAGCAGUGGGGAAUAUUGCACAACGGGGGAAACCCUGAUGCAGCAACGCCGCGUGAGUGAUGAAGGUCUUCGGAUCGUAAAGCUCUGUCUUCAGGGACGAUAAUGACGGUACCUGAGGAGGAAGCCACGGCUAACUACGUGCCAGCAGCCGCGGUAAUACGUAGGUGGCGAGCGUUGUCCGGAUUUACUGGGCGUAAAGGGAGCGUAGGCGGAUUUUUAAGUGAGAUGUGAAAUACCCGGGCUCAACUUGGGUGCUGCAUUUCAAACUGGAAGUCUAGAGUGCAGGAGAGGAGAGUGGAAUUCCUAGUGUAGCGGUGAAAUGCGUAGAGAUUAGGAAGAACACCAGUGGCGAAGGCGACUCUCUGGACUGUAACUGACGCUGAGGCUC
rnacentral:rRNA from 1 species